AUCCCUGUAGCGCAAUUGAUAGCGUGUUGGAAUACUAAUCCAAAGGCCGUGGGUUUGAAUACCACCUGAGAUG